rnacentral:tmRNA from 1 species
GGGGUCGACUGGUUUUGACAGCAGGACGCAUGAAAAAGUAAGCAAGUCGAGCGCUGAAUUACAGCUCGUAAAUCUCAUUUUUCACAUUUUUUAAAUGGCGAGAAUAACUACGCUCUAGCUGCAUAAUUAACUGAAUUAUAGUAGGUUAAUGCCCAGUCCUGGCUAGGCCAGGAAGCCGGAUGUCUCUGAAUAGCCCUUGUUGACGGCGAUUUAUUAAGAGGCACCAUAAAUGUCAACAUCGAAACACUUGGGCAUCGCUAGUGUUUUCCAAUAAAGAUGCUAAGGUUUGUAUGGGCAGUUUUCGGUCAGUUCAAACUCUAAAAUUAAACGAAAUCUAAACUUGUAGAAAUCUUUUUGAUCGCUUGUUUGGACGCGGGUUCGAUCCCCGCCGACUCCACCA